rnacentral:rRNA from 1 species
AUACGUAGGGGACGAGCGUUGUCCGGAAUUACUGGGCGUAAAGGGCGCGCAGGCGGAUAUUUAAGUCAGCUGUAAAAGGCAUGAGCUCAACUCAUGUAUGCGGUUGAAACUGGGUAUCUAGAGUGCUGGAGAGGUAGGCGGAAUGCCCGGUGUAGCGGUGAAAUGCGUAGAUAUCGGGAAGAACACCAGUGGCGAAGGCGGCUUACUGGCCAGCAACUGACGCUGAGGCGCGAAAGCCAGGGGAGCGAACGGGAUUAGAUACCCCGGUAGUCCUGGCCGUAAACGAUGAAUGCUAGGUGUGGGUGUCGAGAGGCAUCCGUGCCGGAGUUAACGCGAUAAGCAUUCCGCCUGGGGAGUACGAUCGCAAGAUUGAAACUCAAAUGAAUUGGCGGGG